AUGGCUGCACUUGUGCCUGUUGAUGUUGAGAGUAUGAACUGUGAUGCAGAGUUGGCACUAGCACCAAACGGUCCUACUGAACCUGAUAUUCCUGAAUUUGUUCUUCAUCCUAGUGUUGGUAGAAUCCCUAAAACAGGUCACAGUGUUCUAAAAAGUUCAUUUGCACCUAAGGAUAUUGCUAUAGCUGUAGCAAAGUGGGGUGAGAGUCCAAAAAAACAGACCAGAGAGAUGGGCCUGGGUGGGUUGCUACAUGUAGAUCAUUUUACUCACUUUAGCAGGAACCAUUCUCUUUUCUGUCUGCAGUCUAUAGACACUAGGAGGAAAAGGCUUGUUCUAGGGAAAAAUAAAUUUGCUCAGAUCAGUGAGAGAUCGAUGUCUGCCAUAUUAGGUACAAGAGAAGGUGGUGGUGUAGAGAUUCAGAGAGUCAGAGAAGGUCCUACGACAAAAGAAAUUUUUAUGGUCAGAAAAAUGCUAGACCUUGAUCUAAACCAUCAAGAAGUGAAAACACCGGAUCUUUUGAAAGUUUUGUGUGAAGACCAUCCUGAGGAGUUCACCAAAACAAGGGCGAUAAGAUUGAAACUUGCCUUGGCAAUGUUAGUUCUGUCAGUUUUCUACAGCCCCAGAGACAAGAGAGGAUAUGUCCCAAAGGAUGCAUAUCUACUGGCAUAUGCUCCUGAAAAUUUGGACAAGUUAAACUGGACCAAAUACGGAGUUGCUGAGCUUCUUGAUGCUGCUGCUAGAGUUCAGCAGUAUGUCAAUGCAAACCCAGGACCUGGACUCACUAUCUUUGGUUGCCACUACUAUCUUCAGGUGUUGUAUUUCGAUUCUGUGGAUGCUGGAGAUCAGAAUGUCGAUCCUACUGUUUGGCCUAGGAUAUGUGUCUACAAUGCUCCAAAACUUUUUGCUCUUAUUGAGAGGGACACCAUGAAUUAUAUAUCAAUGAGGGUUUACGGCAUGCUGAGACCUGAUGUGAAGGAACAGGUGGCCAAUCUGAAGAGGCAGAAGCGAACGGCAAGCGGGUCACAACUUAGAACCGUUCUCAAUGAGCAGGCGGCUGUCAUUCUAACUCAUGUUGAUGAAGUAAUGUUAGCGCUUCCAGACAACAAUGUUGCAUCCAAAAAUGCGGGGAGGUGCAUGCCUGAACAAUUUGGGGAAUGUAGCGGUGGAUUUCAUGGCUCAAGAUUUGGUGACAUGCCAAAAACAAGACUCUCUGGGAUGGAAAGCUAG
rnacentral:rRNA from 1 species